rnacentral:lncRNA from 1 species
CGAAGUUUAAUUUAUUACCAACUAACCAAACAAGGGCCUCAACUAUUAGCUUCAGCCGCAAUAUGUCGGCUGAUUCAGUGCUUUAAAUCAUAAAGAAAGGUGAUAUGAGUGUCCACAUACUUUUGGCCAUAUUGUUACUUUUACUUCCUUGUGGGCUGAGCUUCACUUGCCGUUACUAUGGGAAACUGAGGUUGCAGGGCAAAACGCAUGGAGCCGACAUUUGUAGAAUUGUUGGUACACUUUAACUCCGUUUAAUCACUCCAAAGAUAUGUUACUGUUUCAGUACAACCUUAGUUCACUUCAUAAAUUAUACACAUACCAUGAUUAAUCGAAAUUCUACGCUGGAUCUGCGUCGUUUUGGUUCAGUAAAGCCUGGCCUGGGGUGUGACCGUCGUGCGCGGAGCAGUUCUGGGCGUCAGGGUCUGAGGGAGCCGGACUCCCGGGAGACUCAUGACCGCCGACAGCUGCAGCUGAGCCGGCAGGGCUGCCCGGAAGAGCCCUGGAGACCAAUUGGGGCACCCAGACGUCCCUCACAUCUGGAGACCAAACCAGUGAUUCUGGACAAUAUGGGACAACAACACGAGGCGACUACGGAUGACCCAUCAAAGAGAGUCGACCAAUCCAUUAACAGCAACCCUCCAGAUUCCACAGGAGGAAGUAAGAGUUUGACGGUUUGUCGUACGCAGGCUGGAAAAAGAGCUGAUAUCGUUUCCCUGAGGAAACAUCUGGGCCACACCAGGUGAGAGUUACAUCCGUGGGUGUUUAGCAAAUAUGGAACAUACGAGUACCUUCUGUGGAUAUACAUAUGUGGUGUCUAGCUGCGUUUCCUGCUGAAAUCC